rnacentral:rRNA from 1 species
UACGUAGGGUGCGAGCGUUAAUCGGAAUUACUGGGCGUAAAGCGUGCGCAGGCGGUUUGAUAAGACAGGCGUGAAAUCCCCGAGCUCAACUUGGGAGUGGCGCUUGUGACUGUCAGGCUAGAGUAUGUCAGAGGGGGGUAGAAUUCCACGUGUAGCAGUGAAAUGCGUAGAGAUGUGGAGGAAUACCGAUGGCGAAGGCAGCCCCCUGGGACGUCACUGACGCUCAUGCACGAAAGCGUGGGGAGCAAACAG